AUACGGAGGGUGCGAGCGUUAAUCGGAAUUACUGGGCGUAAAGGGUGCGUAGGCGGCUUGAUAAGUCGGAUGUGAAAGCCCCGGGCUUAACCUGGGAAUUGCAUUCGAUACUGUCAGGCUAGAGUAUGUCAGAGGUUGGCGGAAUUCCUGGUGUAGCGGUGAAAUGCGUAGAUAUCAGGAGGAACACCAGUGGCGAAGGCGGCUAACUGGGGCAAUACUGACGCUGAGGCACGAAAGCGUGGGGAGCAAACAGGAUUAGAAACCCCAGUAGUAC
rnacentral:rRNA from 1 species